rnacentral:rRNA from 1 species
GCCAUUGGGGGGUGCUAAUACAUGCAAGUCGAGCGAACAGAUAAGGAGCUUGCUCCUUUGACGUUAGCGGCGGACGGGUGAGUAACACGUGGGUAACCUACCUAUAAGACUGGGAUAACUUCGGGAAACCGGAGCUAAUACCGGAUAACAUUUGGAACCGCAUGGUUCUAAAGUGAAAGAUGGUUUUGCUAUCACUUAUAGAUGGACCCGCGCCGUAUUAGCUAGUUGGUAAGGUAACGGCUUACCAAGGCGACGAUACGUAGCCGACCUGAGAGGGUGAUCGGCCACACUGGAACUGAGACACGGUCCAGACUCCUACGGGAGGCAGCAGUAGGGAAUCUUCCGCAAUGGGCGAAAGCCUGACGGAGCAACGCCGCGUGAGUGAUGAAGGGUUUCGGCUCGUAAAACUCUGUUAUUAGGGAAGAACAAACGUGUAAGUAACUGUGCACGUCUUGACGGUACCUAAUCAGAAAGCCACGGCUAACUACGUGCCAGCAGCCGCGGUAAUACGUAGGUGGCAAGCGUUAUCCGGAAUUAUUGGGCGUAAAGCGCGCGUAGGCGGUUUCUUAAGUCUGAUGUGAAAGCCCACGGCUCAACCGUGGAGGGUCAUUGGAAACUGGGAAACUUGAGUGCAGAAGAGGAAAGUGGAAUUCCAUGUGUAGCGGUGAAAUGCGCAGAGAUAUGGAGGAACACCAGUGGCGAAGGCGACUUUCUGGUCUGUAACUGACGCUGAUGUGCGAAAGCGUGGGGAUCAAACAGGAUUAGAUACCCUGGUAGUCCACGCCGUAAACGAUGAGUGCUAAGUGUUAGGGGGUUUCCGCCCCUUAGUGCUGCAGCUAACGCAUUAAGCACUCCGCCUGGGGAGUACGACCGCAAGGUUGAAACUCAAAGGAAUUGACGGGGACCCGCACAAGCGGUGGAGCAUGUGGUUUAAUUCGAAGCAACGCGAAGAACCUUACCAAAUCUUGACAUCCUUUGAAAACUCUAGAGAUAGAGCCUUCCCCUUCGGGGGACAAAGUGACAGGUGGUGCAUGGUUGUCGUCAGCUCGUGUCGUGAGAUGUUGGGUUAAGUCCCGCAACGAGCGCAACCCUUAAGCUUAGUUGCCAUCAUUAAGUUGGGCACUCUAGGUUGACUGCCGGUGACAAACCGGAGGAAGGUGGGGAUGACGUCAAAUCAUCAUGCCCCUUAUGAUUUGGGCUACACACGUGCUACAAUGGACAAUACAAAGGGCAGCUAAACCGCGAGGUCAUGCAAAUCCCAUAAAGUUGUUCUCAGUUCGGAUUGUAGUCUGCAACUCGACUACAUGAAGCUGGAAUCGCUAGUAAUCGUAGAUCAGCAUGCUACGGUGAAUACGUUCCCGGGUCUUGUACACACCGCCCGUCACACCACGAGAGUUUGUAACACCCGAAGCCGGUGGAGUAACCAUUUAUGGAGCUAGCCGUCGAAGGUGAACCAAAAAGGG